rnacentral:sRNA from 1 species
GACUCCUGUCUUCCGUUCUGACACUGUAGACUGUUUCUAGAGCUAUGUAGGCUCUCCAGGGGCAGAACUUUUGUAUUCCCCGUUCUCUGGCUCAAUUUCAGAAGGUUUGCCGGUUAGAAAAUUAACGUGUCUUUAAAUCGCUAUGAAUCUACGUUUGACAAUCCUACUCAAUAUAAUAGUCACAUCGUUUCAAGACAACAAGGUAUUUAUCAGGCAAUCAUCCAGGAUGGCCGAAACAGCAGGUGGUGUUAACCAAUUAGCCAUCUAUACUUGCGAACUGACCAGCGGAGUUAAGCCACCUCCACCACCUACGUUUUUCAAGUCUAUCUCCCUUGUAAGAACAAUGCACGAAUCACGCAUCGAAAUGGGCGAGGUCUCGGUCUCAACAAAAGAGCCUUCGGAAACUCUGUGUCUGUUAGAGCAAUCUAGCGGCGAACUCAAGUUGAAC